UUGGUGAGUUUUGAGUCUAUGGAUAAUUGCACUGUGCAGCCCAACAUGGUGUGCUGCUUUGUUACUUGCAUACAAUAAAAGGAAACACAAGGUUGUUCACCAGCUAUUAUUCACAGCACAUGCCUGUAAUUGUGAUUUUCAUUUCUCAGUUUGCAGGCCUGGUCCAUGUGUUCUCUGGUUUCAAAAGACCAGAAGAUGGGAACCGGAAAUUUAUGAAGCCUCCAUGUGGUGGUGUGUGUGCGCUUCCCCGUGAUCUUGACAGUGAAGAGCCCGAAGGAUUUCAUAGGUAUUGUUUUUCUUUGCUAUGUCAUCGUAGUCAGUGUCGGCCGGAGACCCGGAUCGUUAGGCUUCAGAGGGGCGAAAGCGAUUCAGUUAGAUUCGGGGCCCGCUGA
rnacentral:lncRNA from 1 species